rnacentral:rRNA from 1 species
GUCGCCUCCUAAAAGGUAACGGAGGCGCUCAAAGGUUCCCUCAGAAUGGUUGGAAAUCAUUCAUAGAGUGUAAAGGCAUAAGGGAGCUUGACUGCGAGACCUACAAGUCGAGCAGGGUCGAAAGACGGACUUAGUGAUCCGGUGGUUCCGCAUGGAAGGGCCAUCGCUCAACGGAUAAAAGCUACCCCGGGGAUAACAGGCUUAUCUCCCCCAAGAGUUCACAUCGACGGGGAGGUUUGGCACCUCGAUGUCGGCUCAUCGCAUCCUGGGGCUGUAGUCGGUCCCAAGGGUUGGGCUGUUCGCCCAUUAAAGCGGUACGCGAGCUGGGUUCAGAACGUCGUGAGACAGUUCGGUCCCUAUCCGUCGUGGGCGUAGGAAAUUUGAGAGGAGCUGUCCUUAGUACGAGAGGACCGG